GACGAACGCUGGCGGCGUGCCUAAUACAUGCAAGUCGAACGAGAGCGACCGGUGCUUGCACUGGUCAAUCUAGUGGCGAACGGGUGAGUAACACGUGGGUAACCUGCUCAUCAGAGGGGGAUAACAUCCGGAAACGGAUGCUAAAACCGCAUAGGUCUUCGAGCCGCAUGGCUUGAAGAGGAAAAGAGGCGCAAGCUUCUGCUGAUGGAUGGACCCGCGGUGCAUUAGCUAGUUGGUGAGGUAACGGCUCACCAAGGCCGUGAUGCAUAGCCGACCUGAGAGGGUGAUCGGCCACAUUGGGACUGAGACACGGCCCAAACUCCUACGGGAGGCAGCAGUAGGGAAUCUUCCGCAAUGGACGCAAGUCUGACGGAGCAACGCCGCGUGAGUGAAGAAGGUUUUCGGAUCGUAAAACUCUGUUGUUAGAGAAGAACAAGUGCUAGAGUAACUGUUAGCGCCUUGACGGUAUCUAAACAGAAAGCCACGGCUAACUACGUG
rnacentral:rRNA from 1 species